rnacentral:rRNA from 1 species
CAGCAGCCGCGGGAAUACGGAGGGAGUUAGCGUUGUUCGGAAUUACUGGGCGUAAAGCGCACGUAGGCGGCUUUGUAAGUCAGAGGUGAAAGCCUGGAGCUCAACUCCAGAACUGCCUUUGAGACUGCAUCGCUUGAAUCCAGGGGAGGUGAGUGGAAUUCCGAGUGUAGAGGUGAAAUUCGUAGAUAUUCGGAAGAACACCAGUGGCGAAGGCGGCUCACUGGACUGGUAUUGACGCUGAGGUGCGAAAGCGUGGGGAGCAAACAGGAUUAGAUACCCCCGUAGUCCCUGUCUCUUAUAC